rnacentral:rRNA from 1 species
UACGAAGGGGGCAAGCGUUGUUCGGAUUUACUGGGCGUAAAGCGUACGUAGGCGGAUCAUUAAGUCAGGGGUGAAAUCCCGGGGCUCAACCUCGGAACUGCCUUUGAUACUGGUGAUCUUGAGUCCGGGAGAGGUGAGUGGAACUCCUAGUGUAGAGGUGAAAUUCGUAGAUAUUAGGAAGAACACCAGUGGCGAAGGCGGCUCACUGGCCCGGAACUGACGCUGGAGGUACGAAAGCGUGGGGAGCAAACAGGG